GCGGUUUCCUAUGUUGCCCAGGCUGGUCUGGAACUCCUGGCCUCAAACAAUCCUCCUACUUCGGCCUCACAAAGCACUGGGAUUAUAGGUGUGGUGCACCUCCAGCAGGAGGUAUCUGGACCCAUUCACCAUCAUGAAAAUGGCACAGGAAAGACCCUCCUCCAUGAUUCAAUCAUCUCCCACCGGGCCCUUCCCACACCACGUGGGAAUUAUGGGAGCUACAAGAUGAGGAAACUGAGACACAGAGAAGCUAAGUUACCCACUCAAGAUCACACAGCUAGUACGCUGGUUCUGCAGCCAGGAUGAGUUUAUAUGAGAAAUCUUCAUCCAAGAUGCUUAGAAGUUUAUCUCUUCAAAGGAUUGCCCUCUUCAGAAACAAGUAAUAGCCUGCUUUGAUGAUGUUUACAAAAUAGCACAUGUCGACAUUUAAGAAGACAAUGGUUUUCAAAGGAACUGGAAACUCCUUUCCUGGAUGGAGAAGGUGGAACUCUAUGGCCACUGAGACUCCUUCUCCCUCAAGAUGCUCUGAUGUCAACAAGUACCUUCUUUGCCUCUGGGAAUUCUCUCCCUUGGAGUAGUAAACCUAUUCCAGGCCUUUCUCUAUCACUGGAAUUGCGUCUGGUCUCAGCAACAAGUUUCAGGAAAAUUAACAUACAUAGGUCCCCAUUCUUUCUCAGGCAGAGGGACAUCCCCAGAGGAUGCAGGACUACUAUCAUGAGAGUGGACUGGUGGCAUUUUUUUUUUUUUUGAGACAGAGUCUUAUUCUGUUGCCCAGGCUGGAGUCCCGUGGCACCAUCUUGGCUCAUUGCAACCUCCGCUUCCCAGGUUUAAAUGAUUCUCCUUCCUCAGCCUCCCAAGUAGCUGGGAUUACAGGCACACGCCACAACACCCGGCUAAUUUUUGUAUUUUUGUAUUUUAGAUGGGGUUUCACCACAUUGGCCAAGCUGGUCUCAAACUCCUGACCUCAGGUAAUCUGCCCACCUCGGCCUCCCAAAGUGCUAGGAUUACAGGCGUGAGCCACCGUGCCUGGCCGAACUGGUGGCUCUAUAAGAAGAGCUUCUCCCACUCUUCCCCGCUCCCGAUCCUUCGGCAUGCCAGAGUUGGGCUUCCAGAGUCUCGUGUGGUCAGUAACCUUGUUACUCAUCCAACUUGUGCUCAAGCAACCUUGGCCCCACUGGAAAGGUUUGUCUUCACCACUGCUGAUGAGGUCAAUCUAGGUGGGAGGCAGUGGCCGUCACCCUGGCUAAGCAUCUGCAAUGUCCUUCUGACCACAGCCCACCACCUCGCCUGCUCAUGAGGCUUCUGCCCUGGACCUCCCAGGCCUGAGCUCUCCUGCCCAUUGUGUGUUCUGGUUUGCAGGAUUAGGCUUCUGCUAUGGUCUCUGCUACGAUUUGCAUAUUUGUCUCCUUAAGAACUCAUGUUGAAACUUGAUCCCCAGUGUGGGACUAUUGAGAGGUGGGGCCUUGUCAAGGUGAUUAGGUCAUGAGGGUGCUACCCUUGAGAAUAGAUUAAUCCAUUAAUCAAUUAAUUAAUAAUUAAUAAAUUAAUGGAUUAAUGGGUUAUGAGAGUGGGACUGGUGGCUUUAUAAGAAGAGAAGAGAUACCUGAGCUAACACACUCAGCCACUCGCCAUGUGAUGCCCUGAGCUGUCUCAGGACUCUGGAGAGAGUCCCCACCAGCAAGAAGGCCCUCACCAGAUGCAGCCCCUCAACCUUGGACUUCCCAGCUUCUGGAACAGUAAGAAAUAAAUAUAAUUUCUUAUAA